ACGCAAGGUUAUUUCGACCUAGUAACGUCAGUAAUCAUUAGAUGGAAUAUUCUACUCUGGGAAGAUAUGCUAGGUAAGAAAUAUUUCUUGUUAUCUCAAUUGAAACAUUUAGUAAUAUGAAAUUUUGAGGAAGUAUGAUGAGAAGAAUAAUAAAAGCAUAAAAGUAGUUACAUGCGCAUCGAUAUUUCCAACUGGUAAACCGCCAUUUUUUUUUUUGUCCACGAUUACGAGGUGCCCACCAGGCGCCAAACGCCAGUUCCAGACUAGUAGCUGCAUCUUUAUCCUGUACCUUGUGAGACCCAGGCCUGUACCUUCAUCAAGCCUGAUACUACCUGCUUACUGCACUUCUGGGACACUAGAGGCUGUGUUGACGCUGUUGCUGAGGCUUAACUACACGGCCUCAUCAAAAACACCACCAAGGGCACAGCCAACCAGUAUUCUACCUACCUACCUCCUAAGGCCCUAAGACCUAAGGGCCUUGCAUCCAACAACAUUCCUGGUCUCCUCCCUCGCAUGGGAAUCAAGAUUUACUACAGCAAGAUAUAUGCUGGCAAUUGAUGGUGUUGUUGUCACUGAGCAUAUUGCCACAUUUACCACUGGCCUAGCUUUGCUGUUGGCCUCCUAUUACUACUUCAUUAUAAUGUACCCCAUGGAUUCUGCAUCAACACCUGAGUUCAUUCAAAGAUGCUGUCAGCCACUACAAUUGUGAUACUCAAGUGGAUGAAACUUCUCUUCCAUUCUUGCUGAUGUACUUAAAUAUUUUUUUUUUUUUCUUAAUGAUGUGUCAAUGAUUAUAAUGGUGAUGCUGUAAAGGUGAUGUACUUAAAUGCCUAGGUUCAUUAUUUAUUUUUUUCUGGAAUGCUCUUUUUAAUGGUAUAAUGAUGAUUAUAAUGGUGAUGAUGAUGAUGAUGAUAAGUUUUCUCCAUGCAAGUAUAAUGAUGAUUAUAAUGGUGGUGAUGAUGAUGAUGAUGAUAAAGGUUUUCUCCAUGAUUGGUGUUGCAUAGUUAAAUACCUAGGCUCAUAUUUUUUUUUCUGGAAUGCUCUUUUUUAUUGGUGUAUGCAGUGAUUAUAAUGGUGAUGAUGAUGUUGAUGAUGUAAAGUUCUUUCCACGCUGGUUUAUGUAUAGUUAAAUGCCUAGGUUCUUUAUGAUUUUUUUUCAUUUCUGGAAUUGUCUUUUAAUGAAGUGUAAUGAUGAUGAUGAUAAUGUAAAGUUCUCUACAUGCUUGCUGAUGCAGUGAAAUGCUUAGAUUUAUUAUUACUUUUAUUUAUUUAUUUAUCAUUUUUUAGGAAUGCUCUGAUGAAGAGUCAACUAAUUGAUUAAAUUGUAUAGUGUGGUUUAGUAGAAAUAUUUUUGCAAGUUUAUCUAAUGUAUUUUUAGUUUUAAAAAUGUGCUCAGGUAAUUUCUCCUUUUACCUCAUUUUGAUUUUGAAGCCUCUUAUCUAGUUCAUCUUUUACAUGAGAACAUGAGGAAAAUGUAGGCUGUCCAUGCCCUAACCUGACGUGCUGUUGGACACAUUAUUUGUGUUGAAUAAAAUCUUUCAGCUAUGAAUUUUCUCAUGUUUAUAACUUUUCCAUGGGCAGUAGGACAACAUUCAGGUUCCAGUGUUUCUUAUUACUGAUGCAGUACUUUCUCUAAAAGGAUGACUUUUUUUUCUUUCUUUCUCAGCUUGGUUAUCAAAUUCCUUGCACAUUUCAGUCCUUGCAUUCCUUCUGUGCUUCUCUCAUAAACACAUACAGUUUAAAUAAUACCUUGCUUAUUUUUCCAAAAAUGUUUCAGAUACAGGAAACAGUUAAUUUAUUUUCAUAUACUUUGGUUCAGGUGAAGUGAUUUCCCACAGAGGUAAUGAAAUAUUUUUGUACUUUUGAUAGAUAUGUGAUAUACUCAAGAUCUGUUUGUAUAGAAAGGAAUAUUUAAUAUUCAUAAAAAGUCCUCAAAGUGCCCUAGUAAAUAUAAGUUCUACUGAGUCAACUGGGAUUUUAGUAUUUAUUUAGCUAUAUUGUUAUUAAAUGUAAAAAAUCUCAUGAGUGCAGAAUAGUCACAUUUCUGCAGUACGCCAAUUGCUCCAUUAUCCAGACUGUCAGUAUCCAGACUCGUCAUUAUCCAGACAAGUGUCUGAUUGGCUAUCGUGACAGUAAGAGUUGCUCUCUGGAGGGUAAGGGUAACUAUUCAGACAGUACGUCAUUAUCCAGGUGUGUUACAGUCAUGUGCACCCCUAUCCAGAUGUUGCAGUCUCCGGAUGGGCCUCUGGUUAAUAACUAGGAUGGAUAUUGGAGAGAUUACAGCAUUUUACUGUUGUAAUUAAAACAUUGCUGUUGAUUCAGCAUAUAUAUAAUCUCAGUAUAUCAAAUUUGCUCUUUGAUAUACUAUCAAACACUGGUUUCUUCUGAUACCUGCUCUUUUCUACAUACAGCGAACUUUUCAGUUUGUCAUAAAAAAAGUUUGUGUAUACCAGUUGCCCAUUGCUCUCAGUGUGCUUUUUGUUUACAUGCUGACCAUCUGGAGGAAAUAAUAUACUCCUGCCUGGCUGCCAGUCAAUCGACCUUUUGAACUGUUGCUCUUUGUAUACUGAAUACAGUUUAUUAAUAUGUGGUGCAUGGUUCGGUUGGCCAGCAGGCAUUCGGGCGUGUGAUCAGCUGGCAAUUGUAAACAGUAAUGUGUAGUGAGAGCAGCAGCAUUGCAACGGCCACCAUUUGUAUCUAAAGUCAUAAUUUGAUAUGUAUGUACUGUGUUGUCUUAAUUGCAUAUACAAUAGUACACAUA